CCUACGGGAGGCAGCAGUGGGGAAUAUUGCACAAUGGGCGCAAGCCUGAUGCAGCCAUGCCGCGUGUGUGAAGAAGGCCUUCGGGUUGUAAAGCACUUUCAGCGGGGAGGAAGGCGGUGAGGUUAAUAACCUCAUCGAUUGACGUUACCCGCAGAAGAAGCACCGGCUAACUCCGUGCCAGCAGCCGCGGUAAUACGGAGGGUGCAAGCGUUAAUCGGAAUUACUGGGCGUAAAGCGCACGCAGGCGGUCUGUCAAGUCGGAUGUGAAAUCCCCGGGCGCAACCUGGGAACUGCAUUCGAAACUGGCAGGCUAGAGUCUUGUAGAGGGGGGUAGAAUUCCAGGUGUAGCGGUGAAAUGCGUAGAGAUCUGGAGGAAUACCGGUGGCGAAGGCGGCCCCCUGGACAAAGACUGACGCUCAGGUGCGAAAGCGUGGGGAGCAAACAGGAGUAGAUACCCUAGUAGUC
rnacentral:rRNA from 1 species